GACGAACGCUGGCGGCGUGCCUACCACAUGCAAGUCGAACGAUGAAGCCGGAGCUUGCUCUGGUGAAUUAGUGGCGAACGGGUGAGUAACACGUGAGUAACCUGCCCUUGACUCUGGGAUAACUGCUAGAAAUGGUAGCUAAUACCGGAUACGACCCUCGGCGGCAUCGCCAGGGGGUGGAAAGAAUUUCGGUCAAGGAUGGACUCCCGGCCUAUCAGCUAGUUGGUGAGGUAACGGCUCACCAAGGCGACGGCGGGUAGCCGGCCUGAGAGGGUGACCGGCCACACUGGGACUGAGACACGGCCCAGACUCCUACGGGAGGCAGCAGUGGGGAAUAUUGCACAAUGGGCGCAAGCCUGAUGCAGCAACGCCGCGUGAGGGAUGACGGCCUUCGGGUUGUAAACCUCUUUUAGUAGGGAAGAAGCGAAAGUGACGGUACCUGCAGAAAAAGCACCGGCUAACUACGUGCCAGCAGCCGCGGUAA
rnacentral:rRNA from 1 species